GUCAUCUUGGGGGGUUUUGUGGUUUGUUUGCUUGGGGUUUUUUUAGCUUUUGAAAAUAUUUGUAGCGCUGAUAAGAUGCUACUCCAUGGCUAUCUAUAGUCUGCCUGUAAUUACCAUUUCCCUUCUGACAUACGCUGGCUGAUGUCAGCCAGCUAAAAGUGGCAUAAAAGUGGAUAGGCUGUAAGGGCACACACCAAGCUAGACAUACGCUGAGUAUGGAACAGCUUGAGCCUUUUCUAAGAGGUAAUCCAGUACCAAGUUUUUUCCCCUCAUUGCUAAGAUUUGGGGCUAUAUAAAGACCAGACGAGAAUCAGGUGACGUCUGCAAAGUGCAGACGAAAGGCAAGUUGAUAAUCGAAAUGCAAAGCAGACAUAUGCUUUCUCUCAAACUCUGUAUUGCCGGCUUUUACGAUUUUAUCGCGAGUUUCAUAAUCAGCACUGUUCUUAAAGCUCCUUGGAUCAAGUGGUUGUGCAAAAAUUUCAGCUUAUAUUUUCACUUUUAUAAAAUAAAGCUUGCAAAUGUGACUAGAAUAUUUAUUUCAGAGGCAAAAGUAGAAAACAGACAAAAAGUCCCAAAUGGAUGGGUUUUUCAAGAGACGAGGUGGGGCUAAUUCAUGAUUAUGAGUAUUUGGGAAUGACACAACCAGAGAGGCAAGCAAAGGAGGGAAACGAAGCCAACGAAAUGACUGAUUCUACCAAGAAUCAUAUGACAAUGCUGUUCCUCUGGAGUACCUUACACAAUAUGAGAAAGGCCUUUCAGACAGUAGGAGCUGCAUGGAAUUAACCAGAGCAACUGCUGAGUCCACCAUAGAACUUAAGCUGGUCAACAUGACUAAAGGAAAUUGGAAAUGUUCUUAGAUGAUGUGAGCUGACUCUUGGCAUAGAGUGGGACCUCACCUCCAGUGCACCAUCCCAGGAACUUGGAAGAGCUUCUCUGAUGUUAAUCCCUGAAACCGAGGCAAGACAAAUUCUCUCAGAAGUUUCCCUAUCUUUUCAGUGAGAAGAAGGAAGUGAUAGCUUGGCAGAUGAAGAGAUUUGAGAAACAGGAAGGGAUGAGGCGAUUCAUGAUGACUGUCAGGGUUUAGAGAUACAGAAGCAUGAGAAGAGCAACCACGUAGUGCUGGGGAAGAUGAUACCAGCAGGAGCUGAAGGAAUUGAUAGGAGCAAGGAGCCAGAACAGAAGGGAAUGAGGAAGAAGGAAUCUGGAAAGGCAAGACAAAGGUUUAUAACCUGUGUAGAACUGAAGUCAGUAUUCCCAGAAUUGAAGUUAGGAUUCUUAAGUUUCUCUGUUGCCCAGCAAAUGAUUUGAAAUCCACUAUUUUCUAGUGGCUUAUCUGUAUAAUAAGACAAGAUAUUACUUCUGCCAGUUUCUUUGGUUCAAGUGGUAAAGGUUUCCUUGUGACUCUUAAAGGUCCAACAGUGCUGAUGACCCUUGGGAAUGUUAUUAUGACUCCAUGGUGUAAUUAUCUGUGCUUUCUCAAAAAAUCACACACCAUUAUAUGUAAAAAUGAAAAUAAAACCACUUCUGGUUUAGAUAACAGUCUCAUUGGUUGUAUCUUCAUUCAAUUCUAAAAUGUAAUCCGUGCUAUGAACAAAAUAAAAGGGGAGUCGUAA